AAAAAGACAAACCCUGAUUUUCGUGUCCAACGUUUGACCAUUCGUCUUAUUUGAAAAAAUUACGAAAAAUAUUAAAAAGACAAGUCACGCAUAAAAUAUUAAUCAUAUUUUAUCAUCUAACAACAAUAAAAAUACGAAUUAUAAAAAAAUUUCAUAUAAGAUGGACAGUCAAAGUUGGACACGGAAACUCAUGGUUUACUUUUUU
rnacentral:pre_miRNA from 1 species